GGGUCAGUAGGUUGGUCGUGCCACCGGUACGUACUGGUCUCACUGAUUCCUCCUUCCUGAAUAACCGUAAUUCCAUUAAUUUGGUGUUGCGGGUAAACAGGACUUUUACUUUGAAAAAAUUAGAGUGUUUAAAGCAAGCUAACGCUUGAAUACAUUAGCAUGGAAUAAUGAAAUAGGACGAUCGAUCCUAUUUUGUUGGUUUCUAGGAUUGACGUA
rnacentral:rRNA from 1 species